AAACGCUUUCCAGUGGAUACCAUAACUCACAACUCUCACGCGAUUCUGGACUAUCCUGAAGGCGACGAACCUGUCGUGCACUAUAUAGAAAGACGCAAUGGCAACUGAUAUGAGCUGGAACGACGCUGUUUCUAAUUCUUCCUUGAAGAAGCCAUGUGAGGAAGGUGGAAGCUCUUGGGACAACUUCAAGAAUCAGAUGAAAGACCACACACACUCCUUCAAACUAGCCUUUCACUCGGUGAAGGAAAAAAUCUCAAUUCCUGCAAACUGGAGUGUAGAUCAAAAUCCAUCUCAUGAAUCAAUGGAAUUGCC